rnacentral:tRNA from 1 species
AGCCCCGAGGUGUCAAACAUAUUAGAUUGCAAAUCUUAAGAGGCAGAUUAACCCCUGCCGGGGCUU